UUUCCACUGAUGAGGCAGAGGUAGGGACAAGCACAGACAAAAGAUUCCUGCCUUGUGCCAAAGCUAUAAAAGGGGGUGGAGCAGGACAAAAGAGGCAGCCAGUCAUGAAAAAAACCCUGCUUACCACCGGAGAUGUCUGCUGGAAUUAACAAAGACUGUACCAGGGGAAAGGAUUGGGCCCAGACUAGGAAGGAGUCUAGUCUGUGAAAGAAGCUUAUUGGAACAUCUUUGAGGGUGAUAUCUAGGAAAAAGUUAA